rnacentral:rRNA from 1 species
CAGUCGCCACGGGAACACGAAGGGUGCAAGCGUUAAUCGGAAUUACUGGGCGUAAGACGUGCGCAGGCGGUUUGUUAAGACAGAUGUGAAAUCCCCGGGCUCAACCUGGGAACUGCAUUUGUGACUGGCAAGCUAGAGUGUGGCAGAGGGGGGUGGAAUUCCGCGUGUAGCAGUGAAAUGCGUAGAUAUGCGGAGGAACACCGAUGGCGAAGGCAGCCCCCUGGGCCAACACUGACGCUCAUGCACGAAAGCGUGGGGAGCAAACAGGAUUAGAUACCCCAGUAGUCCCUGUCUCUUAUAC